rnacentral:tRNA from 1 species
GGGUAUAGCUCAGCAGCAGAGCAUGUGCUUAGCAUGCACAAGGUCCUGGGUUUGAACCCCAGUACCUCCA